UGAAAAAAAAUUUGAAAAUUUUUUUUUUAAAAAAGUUCGAAUUUGAAAAAAUAUAAUCUAAAACUAUAAAAAAAUAUUUUUUUAAUUUUUUUAUAUAUCUAGGGAAUUAGGGUCCUUUUACCUAUUAAAUGAAAUAUUUUAGUAAUUUUCUUCCUUGUGGUCUAUUUUUGUGAUCAAAAAUUGAAAAAUUAUAUAUUUAAAAGAAUUUCCCAUCAUUUAAUGGAAACCUAUUUUAUCUGAUGGCUAACUAAAAUGCUUAAUAAUGUUUUUACUUCAAAAAGUCCAGAAAUUUGAGUCCCAAAACUGCAAUUUCUCCAGAUUAAUGAAUGUAAAUUAGAAAACAUAUCCAACGUGGAACAAGAAAAAUCCUUUUAAAAAAAGUGGGACAAGAAAAAUCGGUUUUAGAAGUUCCGUUUAAAUGCGGGAUUAUUGCAAAUAUGACUUAAAACUUGAAGUCAAACAUAAAACUAACCCAUGUUUUUUUUUGGAACUUUGACUUGCCUCUUUCACCCUAAAGUUCAGAUUAUUCACGAAAAUACAUCAUUUUUUUUUUCUUUUCGAAAAUGCAUAUUUUACUCUAUCACCCUCAUCUUCCUCAAGUACUAACAAUAUUGUCAUUGCCAUCAAUACACCAACCACCAUGAACAACUAAUUUGAAGCUCUUAAUGCACCUAAAAGUUGAUUUACACUUUUUUUUUCUCAAUUAUUAUGAACUAAAAACAACAUCUCUUUCACUUUUUCUCCAUAUUCAUCCAAAAAACCCAAGGUUUUGAUUCUAAAUUUUUUAUAGUUCAUAGAGCCAUUGAAACUUACGAUUCUUGGUGGGUCACUUUUUUUUUGUUGAGAUUUUGGGUUUUUGGAGAAGAUUUAUGUGUGCUAAACAAGUUAUUUCACUGGUUGAACAAAACAUUGAUCUUUUUAAUUUUCUUAUUUUGUAUUAUCUUCUUAGAGAUUCUUAUAUAAUAGAAAUUUGUCUUAUAUUUAUCUAGGAUCGCUCUUCUUUUACAUAUAUAUAUACAGUCACCGUGUGUACUACAUUUUAAAUCUGUCUAUUUAUUAAAAAUAUAAUAGAAAAAUAUUUGCAUAUAAUUCACCAAUUAUUUUUCUGUGUUCAAUAAGAAAGAAGAACAUUAACAAUUAAUUUACAUAUAACUAGACUUGUCAAUAAAAUUAAUUUAUGUUUAUAUUAAGAACAAUUUUCUAAAAUCUAUCAAUAAAAUUAACUUUAUUUUUAACAUUUAUUUUCUUGUAAAUUUACAUACAUUGUUAAUAAUAUAUCGGUAUUAUUUUAUUGAAAAUAUGGUAUAUUAUUUUAGUAAUUUAAAAAAAUUCAAAUAAAUUGUAAGUCAAAUUUUUUUAAAAAUAGUUUAUAGAUUUAAAAAUAAAUAAAUCAUUCAUGCAAUUUUAGAAUAACAAAAAUCUAAAAUAAUUCAAAAACUAAAAAAAAAAAAGUUAAAAUUUAAAUAACCAAUCGUGUUUAUCGAAAAUCUAAAAUAUAUUGUAAAAUCAAAAACCAAAAAUAAAAACUAAAAUGUAUAAACUAGAAACUAAAAACCAAAAACCAAAAACCAAAAUCUAAAAACCAUUUAAACAAUCAUCACCUAAACAUAAUUUUGGGUGGAUCUCAAAGCACUUGCAUAUGAAAGCUAACCAUUUAUCUCGUGGCCAAAAAUGAGUUUAAUCAUGUGGUGGAAAGUCUUUUUCUUUUCUAUUGUUAAACGUAUAACGUAUAUGCAUAAUUCUGCAUUUUAAUAUGCUCUUUGUACUCAAACGGAUUUAUUUUCUUCUAAAGCGACCUAAAACCUGAAAAUAUUUGAUAUAUAACUAAAUGACUCUAAAACAUUCACUUUGACUAGAUAAAAAUUUCAAAAAAUGUUAGAAACUGGUAAAAUCCCAAUUUAUCAAAACUUUUCUUCAAUAUUAACAACCAUCUCUAUAAUUACAAUACUAAAGAUUUGAAACGUAUGAACCAUCAAUGCAUAUAUCUCAGACUCAAUCACCUAGAACGUUUAGUUGCUCCUACCAGAAAAUCUACUUGUUUAGGAAUGAAUUGCGACAAAGAAAUACCAACUAGUACACGACUUCUCAGAUCAGUUUUAAUAUAAUGGUAAGAGUUAAUAUCUCAUUUCAUAAGUGGCUGAAUGAUGUAGUGGAAACUAUGAUAACACAAAGAUAUUUCUUUAGUAUAAGAAUUUCCGAAUAAACUGAACCUUGUUAAAUUCGUUAAGAUCUUUUUAAAUCUACCGAAAACAAGAAAUAAAAAGAAAUCUCUCAAUUUUAUUAAUUGAUCAAUAACUAAAUACAAUUCUUGGAAUAAAAUACCUAUUUAUAUGAAAACCAAAUAACUUGAAAUAUCUUUAAAAUAAUUAUAACUAAUUAAGAUAAAAAUCAGAAUAAAUAAUAAUCUAGAUAAUUAAGAUAUCUAGAGUAUAUCAAAAUAUCUCUCUGCAUUACUGCAUCACUGAAGCAGAAAAUUCACUAAAUGGUAAUACUAAAUUAAUUUAAAGGUUAAUGGUUUAUAGAUUAUUAUAAAGUGGUAUUGCCCAUUAUGAAAUGAUAUUGCAAAUUGAGAUGGUAUAUUCAUAAACUAAAUAAAAUUCAUAAACUAAACUUAGAUAUAGCGUCAUAGGCGCAUAAAUUUUCCUACCAUUAUUGCUAUCCAAAUAGUGUUAACUGGUUGCUCAUCAUCCACGAACCACAGGGUGCACAAUUUCUACGGUUUCCCAUCAUUAGCAAAUAAAGUAGCUAAAUGCCUAACUUUUUGGGUGAAAAAUAUAAAAUUGUAUUAUCAAUUUUGAUUUUUGGCAGAAAAUUACAAAAAUACUAGUAGUAGAAAGAGAUGAAAAAUCUACCACAAAACAAAGUGCUAGAAGCAUAUAUACAAAUCGUUACACAAAACUAAAAGAAUAUAUAUACAGGUCAAUGUUAUUUCUUACAAAUCUAUAAAUAUAAAUUUACUGAUGAAUUUAAAAAAAAUAUAUGUUAUUUUUUUCUUUUUGAAAAUGGGAGGCAAGUCAAAAUAAUAAUAAGGUUUGUUUAGCUUUAAUUUUACUAGUGUGUGGAUUUAGUUAUAGUAAUUCUUGAUUCUUUCUAUAGUUCUAAAUUUCUACGUAGAAAUGUAAAAUUUAUUGAUCAAAAACAAAAAUUUCUGAUUAAAUCUAGCUAAUUUUAUAGCUAGUGUUCUUGUAAACAAUUGUAAUUUUUGUAACUAUUAUGAAUAAUAGUGCUCAUGAAGAAAUUAUAAGGAAUUGAUAUGUUACAUAUUAGCAAUUCUUGAUAGUUACAUGAAUUACAUAAUAUACCUAUAGAGUAUGAAGCUCAGUGACUACAUUAGAUGUUUACAUAUAUCAAGUUUACACAAGUUAACUAAUGACUAAUAUUUCGCACAACAAAAAAAAAAACUAACGACUAAUAUAUCUUUAUCCUUAAGAUGGAAGGAAUUAAGUGACUCCAAUCUUGGACAUGAUUUCUGUGAACCGUGGUCGUGCAAGAGCCUUGGUGAGAGCGCAUCCGAGUUGGUUCCUUAUGGAGACAUGUGUGAGACAUAGAGCCUCUGCUUGAACAUUAUCCAGAAUGAAGUGGUAGUCUAACACAAUGUUCUUCAUCCUUGAGUAGAAAACUGGAUUGGCAUACAUGUACGUAGCUCCAAUGUUGUCGAAGAAUAUCACUAGAGUAGUCUGUAAGGUGAUGCCAAGAUCUGUGAGAAGAGAACAUACCAAUUGAAUCUUAGAGGUAGUGUUGGCUACAUCGUGAUAUUCAGUUUCAGUGGAUGAGCGCACAACACCCCGCUAUUUCUUAGAGCUACAGGAGAUCAUAUUGGCACCUAGAUACAACACAUAAGCAUUAGGUGAUGUAUAGUCAUCAACAUUGCCUCCCAAUCUGCUUCUGAGUAGGCAUGAAGAGUCAAUGGUGUAUUUUCUCGAAUGUAUAUUCCACGAGCUGCUGUGCAUGCGCGUUUUACAGCCUGCCAACAGAGGUCCAUGGGUUUAUGCUUUGAAUUGAGACAUAUUUUUGAUAGCAUAAACUAUAUCCAGACGGGUAAAGUCAAGGUACUGAAGACUGCCAAGAACUGUCUUGAACUCUGUUGGCGAUUCAAGUGGUGUACCAGCGUUAAUUGAUAGUUUCGGAGUUGGAGAUAUAGGAGUGGACACCUGACAUGCUUGCAACAUGUUGAUGCGCGUAAGAAGAUCAUUCACAUUUUUUGCAUCAAAUGAAGUCCUUUGUUAGGUUGCCUGUAUGCCGAAAAAUAACUCAGCUCACCAGGAUCCUGAGAAACAUAUAGAAAGAUUAGAAAUAAAAGACGUUACCAGACCAGUGCUGCUACACGUAAUGAUCAUGUCAUCUACAUAUAAAAAGAUGUAUAUGAUGUACUGCCCAUGUUCUUGAUGAAGAGAGACGUUUCUGCAGCAGAAUUAACAAAUUGUUAAGUGAGAAGGUAUUGCCGUAAUUCUUGAUACCAUGAUUGUAGAGCUUGUUUCAAGCUAUAAAGUACUUUUCGUAGGUGGCAAUCAUAUUGAGAAUGAUCAUGAUCGAUGAAACCCUAAGGUUGAGUGACAUAUACCUCAUCUUUCAAAGUUGCCUGAAAAAUGCGUUAUUAAUAUCGAUUUGACAGGUAAUCCAUCUCUUGUUCAUGGUAAUGUGCAACACUGUCCGUAUUGUGGUGGACUUGAUUAAUGGCCUAAACUUAGUGUAAAACCAUGUCCAUAUAGCUGACUGAAGCCUUUCGCGACCAUUCGCACCUUGUACCUAUCAAGUUCACCGUUAGGUUUAUAUUUCAAAGUAAGACCCACUUACAGCCGAUGAUGUUUAUGUCGUCAAUUGCCGCAACUAACUCAGAAGUACUAUUGCGUAUCUGAGCAUUGAUCUCAUCGCACAUCACUUAUCGCCAAUAUGAAUUUUGUAACGCUUCUACUAAUUUUUAAGGAAAUUUUGCUUUAAGGGGAUUGGUUGAGAUGAUAAUAGAAAGUUUGUUUUUUGGUUUGGUGAUGUUAUUUUUCAAUCUGGUUCUCAUUGGAUGGUUAUUUGGCUGUGGUGGUGGUACCGGUUGUGAUGGUUGGGAAGGUUCUCUAUUUUAUGUUAGUGAAACAAGGGUAGGGAAAGAUGGUUGAGUUUCUAUUAUCGAAGAUGAAAUAUGUGGAGAUAGAGGUGGGGUUGGUCAUGAUGUCUGACCAGUUGCAGUUAUUGGUGUCGAUUGGUUUUGAAGUGUUGCAGGAGCCGCUGUUUGUGUUGCGACUGUAGACGAUGGUUGAGUUAGUGAAAUGUUGUCUUUCUGUUGCAGCUCAGGUUUGUGAGGAUCAUAGCGCGAGGGAGUUGCGGCAGAGAUGUAGCAAGUGUCCCAGUUAGUAUUGUGUUUAUAGAAGAGCCAGGGAUUCCAGUCGGUUCUGUGAUUGGUUCUAAGGUCAUUGUUGGUUUCGUCGAAGCAAAGGGGAAGCUUUCCUCUACGAACUGAACAUGUCUUGAUACAUAUAUGGCCAGUAUAUUUAUCCAAGAAUAAGUAUGCACUAUGACUUAAGGAGUAUCCGAUAAAGACACAAGAAAGAUAGUGAACAUAAAGUUUGUGACUCGUGUAAGGUUGUAGCCCCAGGAAACACAAACACCGAAAGACCCUUGGCUUGAGAUAGUUAGAUUCUUGACCAAAUAACUCGGCAUAUGGAUACUCAUUUUCCAGAACUAGUGUGAUCAUCCUGUUGAUAAGUUACAUAGCGGUAGAGAAACCAUAGCUUCAGUAGGUUCCUGGCAUCGAUGCUUGACGGAGCAAAGUGAGUCCAGUCUCAACGAGGUGAUGAUAAUUUUUUUCGAAAAAAUCAUUAUGUUUAGGACUGUGUGGAGGGGAGGUGAGAUGAGAAAUACCAUGCUGAGCUAGAUAUGACUGUAAGGCUAUAAAUUUACCACCAAUAUCGGAGUAUCGGAGUAGAGAGUUCCAAUUUAGGUUUUGAAUUUACUCUCCACUAGCGCCUUGAAUAUCACAAACAUAUCAUGGCCUUGGGACUUCUGUUUCAGCGGAUAAAUCCAAGUGUAUUGAAUGUAGAGAUCGACAAUAACCAUGUAAUAUUUGUAGUUGUCAACAAAAACAAUUACAGAGGUCCACAUGCCAGUCUAGGAGUACUGUAGUUGGUUGUUUGAGACAAUUUUGUUUGAACAAAAAAGCAUCUUGUGGUUUUAUUAAUAUAACAAUCCAACAUGAAUAGUAUUUCGGUGAAGAUAAAGAAAUGUGUAUAAAUGUUUUUUACAUGAGUGCUUUUAAAAUAGGUAAAGCUGGGUGGCCAAGAGGAAAUAUCAGUUUUUGGGAGGGUGGGGCGAAGAGGGAGGUUGGAUUGGUAAUUGACUGGCCACUCAUAGAGCUCAAUAUUGGUUUUGCCUUGUAGAAAUUGAACCCCUGUGAUAAAAUCUUUCACCUGAAAAUGGAAAAGAAAUAAUUCAACAGAAACCUUGUUAGUGUUGCACAACUGGUAAACCGAGAUCAGAUUUCACUGAACUUUAGGCACAUAUAGAAUAUCUUUUAAAUCUAGUGAACGAUUAGUAGAGAGUAAGGCAGAACCAGUACGGAUAAUCUGUAACCCAAUACCACCAGCAGUCAGAACUUUUUCACCACCGUUGUAGCCCCACUAUCCAAUAACCAUUUACCUGCAUUAUAUGGUUAAGCCGCUGCUAAAUGAGCUCGUGGUUGCCAAGGAAGAUAGAAUGAGACCGAUGACUGAGACGAGUUCCUAUAGGCAUUCAGAAUCUAAAGUUGAAAACAACAACGUGCACUAUGACCAUGAACCCCACAAAUCUGACACUUCCCGGGGUAAGGAUGUAGGUGUACUGGUGGUUUUCUUAAUUUUCAUUAUAUCAAACAAUAUUUUGGAAUAUGAAUUAGUUGCUACUUUGGCGGCUUCUCUAAAUGGCUGGAGACGAAAUUGACUCGAUCUUUUUGAGUCGAGAGGACUUUCAAGAUGGACAGCAUAUUUGUCAGUCCAUGCAACAGGUCUCUUCAUUUUCAACUGCCGGGUUAACAUAUUGGGGGAUCUAAAAGAAAUUUUAAUCAGAGGAUAUGUGAAGUUACAUUUCUGAUGGUGGUGUGACAGUGGCGUAUACAACGGCGUAAACAGUAAAGACGUAGAUGAUGGUAAAGACGACAUAGAAGGAACAUUACCCGCCAUGGAGCAGACUGUGAAAAUCAAGAAAUUCACCCACCAGGCAUUUUCAUAUGAGACACCACCAAUAAAUUAAGGUUUCUCCGCCAUAACGCCUUCAUAUGGGACACUUACAAGAAAUUCAUCCCUCUGUCGCUCCGCCACAUCGCGUCCGAUGGCAAAUAAACCUCAAAAUCUGGCCAUCUUCUCCUUCCUCCAUCAUCAACGAGCUUCGCAUAGUCACUGCUGAUUACAGAAGAAGGUUGCCACUUUCCCUAUGAAUACAUUCUCUCCAUAAGAACAAUCAAAGAUUUUGUCUUUAUGAUAAAGUUUCGAUUUUUAUGUGUUUUUUGUUAGAUAUGCUGCUUUAAGAAGGAGACUCUUGACUGAUCCACAUUUCUGAUGAGACUUGUAGUUUGAAAAUUUGUAGUUUUACUAAUAAAGCGUAGUUUUACUAAUAAAGUGUACAUGUUAAUGUUUGAAAAUUGGUGUACAGUGUGUACUUUUAUAAUUUAUUGUACAUGUGGAUAGUAAAAUCUAUGUGUACACGUCGAUGUUAUUGGAUGUACAAAUCUUACAACUUGCAAAUUAUAUUAUAGAUUUGCGUAUGUCUAUUUAAGUAAUGUUAGUAUUGCUUCAUGGCUUGAUCCUUUGAAUAAUAAUUAGUUUGUCAAAAUCUUUUUUCAAGAAAACAUGUUUAUAUCUAUGAUGGUGGUAUAAUCAUGAUGUAUACAAUGAUGACAACAUUGUGAUCGAUUCAAGCUUCAACCAUGGCGUUUAUGUCUUCUCGCGUCGCCGUUCUCUGUUAUUGUUUCAAAACCGCAGGGGAGCCUUGACCAAGCUCAAAACCGCAGGGGCGUAUAAGUGAUGUCCACAUGUACGCUGAAUUUUAACAUUAUCCAUGCGUACAAAAUAACAUGUGUACACCUAAAUCCAGUAAGAGACUGAGCUACAAAAUCAAUCGGAAAGUGAUAGAGUAUCUCAGAUAGUACGGAUGGUGGUUUUAAGUUAUCCAAAUCAUGGUCUCAUCAUGUUCCAGUAGAAGAGAUCAAGCAAAUUCAAACCUUGUCUUAUCUCUGGCGAUGUUUACUCAAAAGCCAACUUCUGAAGGAGGUUAAACCACCGUGAUGCCACCGCAUCCUUCGUCGGUUCGGUUGAAAUGUUUCACACCGUCGAGGAAAUGUAAAACUUGUGGUUGGAAACGUUUGCAGCAAGGGCUUUGUUCACAUCAACAUUGUGUUCAGGUGACGAUGGUACAAAAAGAAUCCGGCAAAUGAUUUUAGGAAGACCAUGAUGAUCACUCAGCUUCUUCAUCUUCAUCCUCUUUUGCAAUUAAAACCAUUAUUUUAUAGAUUUUCUUUUGAAAUUAAAAUUGUUUCUAGUUACAGAGAAAAAUAUAUAUUAAAAACUGUAGAAUCCAUUUAGUUUCAAGAAUGAGCUUAGAUAGCUUGUUAUUGCAAAAAAACUACCUUAAGAGCAAUAGCUGCCUUAUAAUGUAAUAAACGCAUAAACUGUCCUAUAGUGUAAACCACUUUUUUUAUUGAUAAAGUUGACACAUUUCCUGUGAGUUUAAUGAACUUCAAGAUUUUAUCACCCCCCAACCCCCCCCCCCCCCCCCUCCCCCCCCCCCUCCCCAAACCCAAUUGAUUUGUCAUGGAUGUAUGGUCGCAACGGCGAUAAACACAUGUUAUGCUCGACCAUCUAGGUAGCUAUCUGGAUCUAGAAGCACAUAUUCAAUCCUUAACACGAGAUACUUAUACUAAUGUCAUGUUUUGCGGAGCAGGAACUGGAUCAAUGCUUAUGCUUGCAUGAAAAGGUAGUGAAUAAUAAAGUAGCUUUGAUCUCAUCCAAACAUAUGCUGCGGCUAAGUUUUUUAAGUGGUGAUUCCUUUAAUGCUCUUAGAAUAAACGAGCCUUGGCCUUCUUUGUUCACGAUCAGAUCUGGUGUCCUUUUGGAAUCUUGAAUCCAGUCACAAUGAAUUUAUAAUCAAUAAACACACUAUAUGAGUAUGUAUAUAUAUUGCAUAACGAAAGUGUCCACAUAUAUUAUAGGUACAACUUUUUACCAAAAAAAAAUAAAAAAAUAUAGGUACAACCGUGGCCGAGUCAUAAGAACAAGAAAAUAGCUAUUGUGGUUUAGUUGUCCUCCACAGUUUCAAAA